ACUUAAAUAAUUUAAAUAAAAUAUUGAUUUGUGGUAUCGAAAAUAUGGUUAAUUCAUUUUAGGUC
rnacentral:tRNA from 1 species